AUUGAACGCUGGCGGCAUGCCUUACACAUGCAAGUCGAACGGCAGCGGGGGAGAAGCUUGCUUUUCCUGCCGGCGAGUGGCGAACGGGUGAGUAAUACAUCGGAACGUGCCCUGUAGUGGGGGAUAACUAGUCGAAAGAUUAGCUAAUACUGCAUACGACCUGAGGGUGAAAGUGGGGGACCGCAAGGCCUCAUGCUAUAGGAGCGGCCGAUGUCUGAUUAGCUAGUUGGUGGGGUAAAGGCCUACCAAGGGUACGAUCAGUAGCUGGUCUGAGAGGACGAUCAGCCACCCUGGGACUGAGACACGGCCCAGACUCCUAGGGGAGGCAGCAGUGGGGAAUUUUGGACAAUGGGCGAAAGCCUGAUCCAGCAAUGCCGCGUGUGUGAAGAAGGCCUUCGGGUUGUAAAGCACUUUUGUCCGGAAAGAAAUGGCUCUGGUUAAUACCUGGGGUCGAUGACGGUACCGGAAGAAUAAGGACCGGCUAACUACGUGCCAGCCGCCGCAGUAA
rnacentral:rRNA from 1 species